AUUGAACGCUGGCGGCAGGCUUAACACAUGCAAGUCGAGCGGGGAAAGGUAGCUUGCUACCUGACCUAGCGGCGGACGGGUGAGUAAUGCUUAGGAAUCUGCCUAUUAGUGGGGGACAACAUCUCGAAAGGGAUGCUAAUACCGCAUACGUCCUACGGGAGAAAGCAGGGGACCUUCGGGCCUUGCGCUAAUAGAUGAGCCUAAGUCGGAUUAGCUAGUUGGUGGGGUAAAGGCCUACCAAGGCGACGAUCUGUAGCGGGUCUUAGAGGAUGAUCCGCCACACUGGGACUGAGACACGGCCCAGACUCCUACGGGAGGCAGCAGUGGGGAAUAUUGGACAAUGGGGGGAACCCUGAUCCAGCCAUGCCGCGUGUGUGAAGAAGGCCUUUUGGUUGUAAAGCACUUUAAGCGAGGAGGAGGCUACCGAGAUUAAUACUCUUGGAUAGUGGACGUUACUCGCAGAAUAAGCACCGGCUAACUCUGUGCCAGCCGCCGCAGUAA
rnacentral:rRNA from 1 species